GAAAUAUUUUGUGUGUACGGCAUAUACACUCAUACACUGGCAUGUGUAUGUGGUUCACAUUAUUGGAUAUUAAUUUAUUUAAAGAACACCAUGAUCAUGAUAGUGUGGAAUAUGUCAAUGUCAUGCAAUAUCUAUACAGAUCAUGCUUCUUCCAAAACCUUCUUUUAACACUGCUAGCGCAUUGUGACGGAAUUGCACCACGUAAAUCCCGUAAUCCCGUCCAAAUAGGGCUCAUGACCCGUGUGUUUUCAGGAUUGAAUUCCUAUUUUUCUGUUUCGUCCACGAGAUACGAUGUUUAAUACAUUCGACACGUCUAUUGCCAUAACCCUAUCUUGUGUAUCAUGACUAGGAUUGAGCCACGUGAAGAGAAUCUGACUCUAGAUCAGCUUAAAAGUGAACGUGGGUUAUAGUUUUCCUGUCCAAUUGGCAUAUUCAUCAAUACUCACACACACUUCAGAUGAAUUUAGCUACUUUUACUUACUCUAAAAACAAAUCAUGUGUUCUAAUUAUGAUCAGAGUGGUUUUCCCCCCAAAUAUGACCCAAAUAAAGACCUGACAACAUGGUGAUAUAUACAACUCUGUAAUGAGUCCAGCAGACUACCGGUACAUAAUGUUUUAAUGACACAUCUCAAGUUAAUACACAUUAUCUGCAUUUCACUUUCUCAUCAUCAUCAUCAUCAUCAUCAUAAUCAUCAUCAUCAUCAUCACCAGUCCUUUUUGCUGGGGGUUCGAGCCCCUUUGGAUAAAACAUGCACAGCUGUUGCAUAGGAAUCUCCACUAUGUUCUCAUUCAUGCAACGUAUUAGUGGUUUUCUUCUACGUUCCUUUGUGAGAAAAUGGUUUAUUUCGAUCAGAUAAAGGUGCGCGUGCCCGCAAUCUCCGCUUUGUCCAUGAUGUCCGGGGGCACACGCGUGUCUCGGCCACGUAAAAACAAACCCGUGGUGGCCAUGUCUCGUUGUACAGCAGCGAACAGAAAAUACAAACGUGUAAGUAAGUGCGGUGAGGUCAAGCUCGGCGAUGAUACGGAGCCGAAAAAGUGGCAAACCGAGACCUUCUUUAUUGUCCGUGCCUGUGGGUCAGACAAGAGAACGUUCUAAUAAAGUUCCUCUAGAAUGUUCUGGAGCUUGGAAGCUGUGAGCAUCGCUGCCCUCUUGUGGCGGAACUACAAAUCUCUGCGUUUACUCUUGAAGAGCGUGGUGGGGGUUUUGGUGGGUGGGUGGCUUGGUUCCAGAGAUGCUGCAGCCCAGAAGUCAUCUCCAAAUCAUCUAGUUGGUGUGAUAUUGUGCUUUUUUCUUCUUUUUUUUUUUCCAACGAUGACCCCAACACCAGGCGAGAAGGGCACAGUCCGGAUUCCGUAGCAUCCCUUAUGGUUUGAACAUCAGACGUGAUGUAAAAUGACAUGGUGUUGAAAUAUCUGGUUACCUUUUUUCUCUCCAUGACCAUCAAAUUCUUUAACAACCUGCAAAAUUGUCAUUAGGAUUGAUACGUUCUCUACGUCUGUGCUCUCAGAGUACACCUAAAGGUCAAGCCUUGAUCAAGGGCACUCGGAGAGAAGCAAACUAACUACACGUAAAACCUUGUGAAAGUGCUGUGAUGGGUAAAGCAGGUGGCCUACAUUCCACUCUGGUCUCUUUGCCAGGAUUUGAGAUCUUCUUCUCUCUCUCUCUCUCUCUCUCUCUCUCUCUCUCUCUCUAUCUCUCACUCUCACUCUUUUCUCGGGGCUGUUCUCCAGAGCCAAGAUUGGUGACAUACUAUAUCUCCUUCAGUGUCACAUACAUUUCUUACACACACACACACACACACACACACACACACACAAACAGAGCUCGUCUCAGAGCUAGCUUUAAGUGGUGAAGGAAGACUGACCUCAGAUCAGGUCUGUAUGAGAUAACAAUGUGUUAAUCUCGUCAAUGCUCGAUGUCUUCACCUACAUUCACACUAGCAUUGGCGCUCGUCUACAGUUCGUCUCUUGUUGGCGUGUAGCGAUCUGUCCCAUCGUCACUUGUAGGCGUGGCUUGAAAAUUACAAUAAGAAAGGGUUAUAGUUAACAAGUUAAACCAAUCGGUGUGAAAACCAAGCUUCAAACUCAGAUUGGACUUGUUAUGUACACUCCCUAGAGGCACCGAUGAUCUCUCCUACUUCCUUCCAAGCGUUCUCCAUACCGUCUCUAUAUACAUUUAAUGAGAGGUCGUAUGUGACAGGAGAAGACGGAACCACGGCUGUAGGUUUCUUUGCGAAUCGAACAGAAAAACGGGAACCGUAGAAACGUCGGACCUCUUGCUCCACAGGACUGACCCGAGGAACCGUUCAAGCCUUUCGUCUGGAGUUGUUGCUUUGAGAAAAUCCCGGUUUAAACGUCGGACGCCGUUCUAUCGCUCGCUAGUGUGAACGUAGGAGUCUGGAAUUUUACAUUCGGUUCAUGAUAACGUGACAAACGGCAUUCUGUGAUGGAAAUAUGACGAAUUGGAAACACGUUCGCUAGGGAUGUUACUGAUGCAGUAAAAACCCAACAACAAACCCGGCACCCUAUAAACGGAUUCGGGUACUUUCGCACGUUUGUGCAGGUCGAUAAAUGAAAAACACAGACGCUCCCGCAGACGGUACGAACACAUCCCGAACGCAGCGAUGCCGUUCGGGAACAGUUAGAAAAAUUGGCUACUUUUAUGGCACAUAAGGUUAUGACUAAACAAGACAAACAACAAAUCAAAGCACAACCACACGUCUAUCCGUAAUUAAAGGGGCGGAUCUGGGAGAAUUUUGUUGUUGUCGUUGUUGUUUGUAACAUCGCAGACAUAAUCAGCAUUCAGGCUUUACGAUAACUUUUAAAAGUACAAAAAUUUUUCCACAAUGAAAAACUGGAAGACGGAGAAGAAAAAAAAUAUGGCCGAGCUUGACCUCCAAACACGGAGAGUGACGAGCGAACGUUCAGACGCUUCGCGACACCGUCGUCGAGGGUAACCGAGAGCAGGUACGCGUAUAAAACACACGCUCUGUGAUGGCGGGAAUAUUCCGGGCUGGUCUGGUUUUUGCUCUGAAAGUGCGAAUCGAGUGACGAACGUGUUCCUGUCACAUGUGUUCAUAUGUGUGUGUGUGUGUGUGUGUGUGUGUGUGUGUGAGUGUGUGUGUGUACUCCAUGGGUCUACAAAGGCUACGUAAAUGCACCUUUAGCGCUUCGUCAUAAAGUCAGAAACCACUUUCGGCGAGUAAUACAUUUCGUUUAGCUCAUUAUAUUUCUGCUGAUUAAUAAAAAGUAAAUAAAAGAUUUUGCUUAAUUCAGUGUAGCUUGUAGAAGUCGUGUUUACUAUUUUAUAUAUAUAUAUAUAUAUAUAUAUAUAUAUAUAUAUAUAUAUACAAAUAUAUUUAUAAACAUGUAUACGUAUAUACAAGGUCUUUAAUAGCAUAACAAUGUCACGAACACCCUACCUCCGAACUUAACUAAUCGUUCUACAGUCAAAUGGACGAACAUGACAAGAGAUGACGUCAGGACCUUCGACGUUUCGAGUGAAAUCCUAACGGUGAACUUAUGAACGUAUCGUGACAGCCUAAGGAACUUUUUCACGCGCACUCGGUUUGUACUCCUGUAACGUGAAGUAUUUAGACGUACAUCGAGAAUUGAUCUAAUCCGAACGGAAUAAAACUGCGACUGCUGUGACGCGAGGUGAUGUUACGAUUAAGGGCUUUGACGCCGUGCUGGUCUGUGUGUGGACGUUUGUAAAUAAACGUUCGCCGUUAUGACGGACAGAACAACCUUCCCCUCGAACCCGUCUAGACGUGUUCGGUGCGUGCCGUUCGCUUGGUACGAGGGUAAUACGGCUAACGAGUAAGAAAACUGCGACACGUUCAAAUGGAGGAAAGUUCCUCGUAUUCAGAGUCGGGUUACGCGCGUGCAUAAGUCAGUUACGUAACUGAAAAUAGUGUAACAGGAGGUUACUGAAAAAUACGAAUUUGGGAGAAACUUAUAAAGUAGCACUUGAUCUAGUACAUCCUGUUAUUUAUUUUGCAUAUAUA
ensembl:lncRNA